rnacentral:rRNA from 1 species
UACGUAGGUGGCGAGCGUUGUCCGGAAUUACUGGGUGUAAAGGGCGUGUAGGCGGGGAUGUAAGUCAGAUGUGAAACUCCGAAGCUUAACUUCGGAACUGCAUCUGAAACUGUGUCUCUUGAGUGCUGGAGAGGAAAGCGGAAUUCCUAGUGUAGCGGUGAAAUGCGUAGAGAUGUGGAGGAACACCAGUGGCGAAGGCGGCCAACUGGACAGUAACUGACGCUGAGGCGCGAAAGUGUGGGUAGCAAACAGGAUUAGAAACCCCGGUAGU